rnacentral:lncRNA from 1 species
UUAAACUCUUUCAUUCAUUUAUACACAAAAAUAUUUUGUUAUUAUAAUUACAUUAAAAUAACUUGGUGAUUGCACUUGAGAACCAUUGCUUUAGAUGACAUAGUUAUUCAUACAGAUUUAUAAUGUCUGAUUAUAAAGAUACAUUGAAGAUUAAAGAUCAUGUGAGCACAAGUUUUUCUCAACAUGAGAGGAAUGUCAUACAAAGACAACAAGACAAGACAUCGGUGCCAAUAUCUUAUAAAGAUGAAAAUUUGAGGGUAGUUUAAAAGCUAACGAAAAAAAUAAUGCCAAAUUUGCAUGAAGAAGAUGCCAAAUGAUUUUACUACAUUAAGAAAUGACAAAGAAGACAAAAUAACAUAAAUAACAGCACUACUAAGCAGUGUUGGGAAAAUGAAAAAACUUUAAUGACUACAAAGAACAAACGUUUUCGCUGCAAUCGCCAUCUUCAGGUUAAAAGGGACUAGCAGUUUAUUUAUGGGUUUUCAUAUAAAAAAGAAGAAUAUGACAGAUUCCUGAAAACAAGUGUAUAUGUUAUCUCCUAAGACAAUGUAUGUUUAAAUAUAGAAGAAAAGUAUACUGAUAUCACAAAAUGCAACCUUGGGGAUAGAAUCUUGGAACAUAUAGAGGACAUGCAUUUAGACUAAAUAUGGCCUUGGGAAAACAUCAUUUAGAGUAUGAUUUACAGCUAUGCUGGGAGGAAGCAAAGGUAAUUAAUCUUAGUAGAACCCCAGGUGAAAACUUUUUAAAGGAAACUUUUCAGAUAUUAAAGAGAGGUCAUCAUGAGAAUGAGAUUAAUGAUAAUCAAUAUGAUAAUGUUCCUAAUUAUAGGUACCAAAGGUUCACUGCUUUAGACGGUAUUCAACUUUAUAUAAGGAAGCACUUCGGGCAAUAAGCGGGCCGGGAUUUUAGUAAGAAC